AGUUAUUUAUGACUCAAUUUGAGAAUCAGAAAGAUUGUUCAGUACGAAAGAGAAGUGUACCAGUUACUUGUUAAGAAAGAGAGGGUCAGAAUAAUAGUACAGUACAAAAGAGGAGUGCACCAGUUAAUUGUGCACAAAGUGAGAGUCAGACAGAUUGUAUAGUACGAAAGUGAAGUG